AGAGUUUGAUCAUGGCUCAGAUUGAACGCUGGCGGUAGGCUUAACACAUGCAAGUCGUGCGAGAAAGUAUCUUCGGAUAUGAGUAGAGCGGCGGACGGGUGAGUAACGCGUAGGAAUCUACCUAGUAGAAGGGGAUAGCCCGAGGAAACUCGGAUUAAUACCGUAUACCUCCUUAGGGAGAAAGAGGGCCUCUCUUGAUGCUCUCGCUAUUAGAUGAGCCUGCGUAAGAUUAGCUUGUUGGUGAGGUAAUGGCUCACCAAGGCUACGAUCUUUAGCUGGUCUGAGAGGACGAUCAGCCACAUUGGGACUGAGACACGGCCCAGACUCCUACGGGAGGCAGCAGUGGGGAAUAUUGGACAAUGGGCGCAAGCCUGAUCCAGCCAUACCGCGUGUGUGAAGAAGGCCUUCGGGUUGUAAAGCACUUUAAGCAGGGAGAAAAAGUUAUAAGUUAAUACCUUAUAACCGUGAUGUUACCUGCAGAAUAAGCACCGGCUAAUUCCGUGCCAGCAGCCGCGGUAAUACGGAAGGUGCAAGCGUUAAUCGGAAUUACUGGGCGUAAAGCGCGCGUAGGUGGUUUGUUAAGUUGGAUGUGAAAGCCCUGGGCUCAACCUAGGAACUGCAUCCAAAACUAACUCACUAGAGUACGAUAGAGGGAGGUAGAAUUCAUAGUGUAGCGGUGGAAUGCGUAGAUAUUAUGAAGAAUACCAGUGGCGAAGGCGGCCUCCUGGAUCUGUACUGACACUGAGGUGCGAAAGCGUGGGUAGCGAACAGGAUUAGAUACCCUGGUAGUCCACGCCGUAAACGAUGACAACUAGCUGUUGGGAGACAAUGUCUUUCAGUGGCGCAGCUAACGUUUUAAGUUGUCCGCCUGGGGAGUACGGCCGCAAGGCUAAAACUCAAAUGAAUUGACGGGGACCCGCACAAGCGGUGGAGCAUGUGGUUUAAUUCGAUGCAACGCGAAAAACCUUACCUA
rnacentral:rRNA from 1 species